rnacentral:rRNA from 1 species
GGUAGCACAGAGAGCUUGCUCUCGGGUGACGAGUGGCGGACGGGUGAGUAAUGUCUGGGAAACUGCCUGAUGGAGGGGGAUAACUACUGGAAACGGUAGCUAAUACCGCAUAACGUCGCAAGACCAAAGAGGGGGACCUUCGGGCCUCUUGCCAUCAGAUGUGCCCAGAUGGGAUUAGCUAGUAGGUGGGGUAACGGCUCACCUAGGCGACGAUCCCUAGCUGGUCUGAGAGGAUGACCAGCCACACUGGAACUGAGACACGGUCCAGACUCCUACGGGAGGCAGCAGUGGGGAAUAUUGCACAAUGGGCGCAAGCCUGAUGCAGCCAUGCCGCGUGUAUGAAGAAGGCCUUCGGGUUGUAAAGUACUUUCAGCGGGGAGGAAGGUGUUGUGGUUAAUAACCGCGCCAAUUGACGUUACCCGCAGAAGAAGCACCGGCUAACUCCGUGCCAGC